rnacentral:tRNA from 1 species
UCUAAUAUGGCAGAUUAGUGCAUUGGAUUUAAACCCCAAAAAUAAAGUUUACCCUUUUUUUAGAA